ACAUGCUUACAACAUAGCGUUAAUGCAUCAAAUGUCAUUAGCAGUCCGCAGUUGAGUGCGUUCGGGAUAGAGUAGUACUAGGAUGGGUGACCGCCCAGGAAUUCCUAGUGUUUUACAUGCC
rfam:Picea glauca, whole genome shotgun sequence.